rnacentral:rRNA from 1 species
CACCAGGUUGAUUCUGCCUGACGUAGAUGCUAGUCUCUAAGAUUAAGCCAUGCAUGUUUAUGUAAUAAGGACGAACAGCUCAGUAGAACUACGAUUAUUUAGUCUGAUUGUGUAAGAUAACUACGUGAAAAUGUAGCUAAGAGAGAACAGAAUAAGACGUAGGACUAUCAGUUAGUUGGUAGUGUAAUGGACUACCAAGACGAUGACGGGUAACGGGGAAUCAGGGUUUGAUACCGGAGAGGGAGCCUGAGAGAUAGCUCCCACGUCCAUGGACGGCAGCAGGCGCAAAAAUUGCCCACUCUUGCAGGAGGCAGUUAUGAGACGUGAAAGUGAAUAUUCAGUAAAGAUGAAUAGGAGAAUUGGAGGGCAAGUUUGGUGCCAGCCGCCGCGGUAAUACCGACUCCAAGAGUGUGUAUGAGAGAUGCUGCAGUUAAAAAGUCCGUAGUCAUAGAAAGAGAAAUAGGGAUGUGAAGUCUCAUUAUUUAGUGAUAGAAAAACCGAUGGGGAACAUAGUAUACCAGGGCGAGAGAUGAAAUGCCAAGACCCCUGGUGGAUUAAGCGAGGCGAAAGCGAUGUUCUUGUAGGGAUUUUAUGAUCAAGGACGAAGGCUGGAGUAUCGAAAGUGAUUAGAUACCGCAGUAGUUCCAGCAGUAAAAGAUGCCGACAUGUUCAUUGGACACAGUGGACAGGGAGAAAUCUUAGAGUUCGGGCUCUGGGGAUAGUAUGCUCGCAAGAGUGAAAAUUAAAGAAAUU